GGGCAGGAGAAGAGACUCGAGCGGCACCCGAGCCGCAUCCACGCCGCCCGCCCGCCCCUGGGGUCUGGGUAGGUAACGGGCCCGGCGGGAAGGAGGGGCUCCCAGGCCGUCCCUCCCAGCGCUCACCUCAGCUCCUCGUCGACAUUCCCGCGGGGCUGUUCGGCCGACGCCACCAUAGAGGAAGUCGUAGAGGUCUUGUUCUUCAAGAUCCCCUUGAUGGGCCGGUGCGAGGCCGUCGAGGCCGCCAUUGCCGGGCGCUCCGGCUGUCGGCUCAGGGUCGCUGCUUGGCGUGGGGUCCGCGAAGAGAAGGGUCGGCACAGCAGAGACUCGCAGGCAGCCGCAGAUCCCGCUCAGGGCUAAAGCGGCCGCAACUGCUGCCUCGGAAACGGCUACCGCAGCGGUUGUCACGACACAACGACCCCGACGCCAGAGCCAACGCCGAACGGGUGGCGGCUACUCGCGCACCCUUAGCCACUGGCACUUGACCCGCGGCUCGCGGAGAGACGCCGGCCUAGAGCUCCAGCGCAGGAGCGACGCGACGCCGAAGCCAAGCGGACCCGCCCUCUCGCGAUAUCUAGGGAGGAGGCGGGGAGAGGGCGGGGCGAGAACAAAGCCGACCUCCUCGCCCCGCCCCCUCCGUCCCGCCCGGGCUGCUCGCCCCGCCCCCGCGCGGCGCUGGGAGGCGGGAGCUGUCUCUGAGAACCUGCGGGAGAGCGCCCGGGCUUGCUGCUUCCCGGACCCGCGCGUCUCUCGAGCACCCUCGUCCCACCACCUUGUGAGGCCGUAGUGUUAUUUUUAUUUUUUAGAUCAGCAGACUGAGACUCGAGGUGACGUCACUCCGCAGAGAGGUUAGCUGACUUGAAGAAAACGGGUAUCUCCUCUUUCCAUUUCGCCCGUGUAAACAGCCGAACUGCCUAUUAUAAAAGCAUGGACUGCCAGCAUUGGAGUGGUCCUUAGAGGCCUAUUAUGAAAUCAUAGAAUGUCUGCAUUGGAAUCGCCUCACCUCCUUUUACCGCUGGAGAAGCCGACGGACAGACGGGCAGCGACCCCCGCCGUCGCACAACCCGUCUAGGCAGAGAGCGCAGGAGACGGGAGGGCGGCAGGGACACAUCUCCCAGCCAAGGACCUCCUGGGCCCGCAGAGGCCGCGACAGGUUCCCCCCACAGAGGGAACCAACUCUGCCGCAGGUUGAUGUGGACUUCAAGCCUGCAGAACGGAGAGCCCAUUUCCAUUGCUUAAAGCCACCUCGUGUGUGGUAUUUGUUAUGGUCCCUGUACACUCCCUUCCCUCCCUCUCCCAAGUCCAGUCCGCAGCUCGCUCAUCACCAGGCUCUUUUCCAUGACUCUUUCUUGAUCAGGCCUUUUUAUCGUCCUCACCACAGGUAAUCCCUCCCCGGAAAGAGAAGAUCACAGAUUUUGUCAUAUUAAAUACAUUGUAGAAAUUCAUGGUAGCAGGGGCAAGAUCAUUUAAACAAAACAGAAAGUUUCAGAGAGAGAAAAAGCCAAGGACAAAGAUUAAUCAUUUUUCUGCUUAAAAAAAAUGGCUUUGAUUUGCAACCAUGGAAUGCUCCACUGUUUCUCUUCUCUUCAAAGACAUCUACUGAAAGGAUUCCUUAACCUUACCAAGUGGCCAAAAUACUUUUCUGAGAAGAGUCACAGAGCAUAGGCCCCCCUAGGGUACACAGAGAUUUCAUUAGUCCCUAGAUGUUUCCUGAUCCUUUUAAAAACUGGUUAAAUUCAGAGACUCUAGGCAAUUACUUCUUUCAGAACCUGUGAGGCAAAAACGAAAGAAGAAGGCAGGACACGCAGUGUAACAAACCUUGGAAUGGACUUCGCCAGACUUCAUCAGAAGAAAGCAGUGCAAGAGGGGACUGCAGAGGAAAGCUGGGGCUUGGGAAACCAGCAGCAGGGGCCACGUGGGCAGGUGGUUUCUGUGUGAACCUCUGAUCUGUGCAACAUAAACAGGAAAUGUUGAAGGCUUCCAGUGCUCUUUUUUGAUGUCGAGAACAUUCUACGGCACAAAAGAGUUUGCCUCUCACUGUUUCUCAUAUAUGGAGGUUUUCUAAUCAGCAUCCUGAACAGAAUUGAAUUAAAAAUAAAAACCAAAGUAAAACUAGCUUUAUCUCUAGAUUUUAAAAUUUUCAUUUUUUUUAGGGUGGCACCUAUACUGUUACCUUGUAGGUACCAACUAGAAUAUUCUUUCUAACUGCCUGUCAUUCAUGGUUUACCUACUUGGAAGCUUAACCCUGUCCAAGACUGGACCCUAGUCAACACAAAUUUUAUCUUAAUUUUAUGAAGGUCUUUCCCACCCCUAAUAUUCUGGCAUUCUUAAAUAUGCUGCUCAGCUGUGCUUGUCAAAGGCAAUUGCGUUUGCUACAUUUCAGAAGAGAGUCCAGACAGAGCCCAUUUGGCUCUGUGCUAGGAACGGCUGCAGUGCAAGACUGUGGAGCUCUGUGGCUGACCACAGCUGAAACUCACUUUGAUCUUGCUAGAUGCCGCCAAGUUGGAAAAAAUUAACUAAGACUGCAGGGUCAAAGAGAACGCAUAAAAGCAUUAACUGCUUUUGUUUCAUGUUUCCUCUCCCUCCAUAGAGAGACAGAGAAAUUAAGAAAAUUGCUGGAUGUGGUUGCUCACACCUGUAAUCCCAACACUUUGGGAGGCCAAGGUGGGUGGAUCACCUGAAGUCAGGAGUUUGAGACCAGCCUGGCAACAUGGUGAAACCCUGUCUCUACUAAAAAUAGAAAAAUUAGCCAGGCGUAGUGGCGCGCCCCUGUAGUCCCAGCUACUUGGGAGGCUGAGGCUGGAGAAUUGCUUGAACCCAGGAGGCAGAGGUUGCAGUGAGCUGAGAUCAUGCCACUGCCCUCCAGCCUUGGCAAUAGAGUGAGACUCAGUCUGGAAAAAAAAAAAAAAUUAAGAAAAUUUAUACAGAGUGGGCAGGAACAAAAUCUUCUGGUGAAUCAAGUCUGCAGGCUUAUUAAAUGUGACAGUAUGCUUCUUGAAGGAUUAGAAAUAAAAUACGAUUAAGUCAAUGCUGUAAUAGCUCUAAGCAGAACCAAGCACAGUGUCUUUUCCUCCCCCUCACAAGUACUGAACUCUUCUUUCAAUCUUUUCAGCUCUGGGACUAGGCCAAGCCCUUCCCUCCUGGGACAGCUGCUUUAGGAGCCAACCAAGCAAGCCCAGCCAGUUCUCAGGGAGUAUAAUGGCAUGGCGGACAAGUCCUUUCUCACCCAAGGCCAGUCUGCUCACCAGGCCUCCCAUCCCUGUCACCCUCGGGCCCCUGAACGUGCAGCCUCUUUCCCCACUGUCAUCUUCCAGCCUCUCGUGUAGCUUCUCCUCGGCAGCCCUGCCUGCUGGGCAUGCCAGCCUCCAUUCCUCACAAACUGCUUAUGUGCAGGGUGAUACUCAGGAUAUUUGAGAACCAAAAUGGUGUGGGCAGGCCCCAACCAAGCAGGAAGGAAAAUGGCUAUCAUGCAGGCAUGGCUCCAUGUAAUUCAGAGAAGCCUCUGCUACCGGGUGUUACCCCUUUAGUUUUCGGGCUCACUGGGGAGCCCCAGGGGUGGUCACGAGAUGGGGAACAUUCUGGAGACUUAAAAAAGAGUGGCCGUGCACAGAGUAGAACUGCUGUGUGUUGGUACACAUCCGCCUGUCACAUCAGCCUGUCUGAGACCCCAGAUACCUUCCCAGAAUGUUGCCUGCACUCCUCACCUUAACAGAAGGCUGGGUUUUCUGUCCCAGGCAACUCACAAAUAGUGGCCGGCAGUUCUGUGCCAUGGAGCCCAGCGCUGGGCAGGAGUUAGGAUUCUGCUUGACUCCCAAGACGGCUGCUGCUGUUAUCAUCAUUUCCUCCAUUCUGACCCAUGGCCCAGGGUAAAAAUUUCUUGAGGCUCAUGUCAAUGACAUCCCCCUGUGUGUGCCUUCCAGUGGCUGCCAUCUAGUAAGCUCUUGCUGAUCUCUAAAUGGCAUCAAGAACUUUGGUCCAUAUUUUUUCUCAUUUAAGAAAUAUUUCUUAAGCAUUCACUGUGCCAGACAACUUGCUGUAUGUCCAGAGAUGUAUAAAACAUGAUUCUUGUCCUUAAAGGUAAGCUAACCUUUUUUUUUUUUUUUUUGAGAUGGAGUCUUGCUCUGUCGCCCACGCUGGAGUGCAAUGGUGUAAUCUCGGCUCACCACAAACUCUGCCUCCCAGGUUCCAGUGAUUCUCCUGUCUCAGCCUCCUGAGUAGCUGGGAUCACAGGCGCAUGCCACCAUGCCCAGCUCAUUUUUGUAUUUUUAGUAGAGACGGGGUUUCACCAUGUUGGCCAGGCUGGUCUCAAACUCCUGACCUCAGGUGAUCUGCCCGUCUUGGCCUCCCAAAGUGCUGGGAUUACAGGCGUGAGCCACCGCACCCAGAUGUAAGCUCAUAGUUUAAUAAGGAAAUAUAAAACAAAGAAUGACCAGACUAGGUGGUAAAUGCCUAAGUGGACACAGUGUUUACAAACAUAGAAACAUGGACACGUGGAAAUGAUGAUGUACUGGUUUCCUGUGGCUUAAAACAACAGAAAUGUAUAUUCUCCCACAGUUCUGGAGGCUAGACAUCUGAAAUCAAGGUGUCAGCAGGGCCAUCCUCCCUCUGAGACUCCAGGUAGGAUCUUUUCCUGCCUUCUCCUAGCUUCCAGUCCUGGUCAGCGAUCCUCAGUGCUCCCUGCUCUCUGCUGCAUCACUCCAGUCUCUGCUGUCGGCCUGUGUUCUCCCAUGUGUUUCUGUCUUCAUGUGGUAUCUUCCUUUUCUUAUGAGGAUAUUAGUCGUAUUGUAUUAGGGCCUACCCUAAUGAGCUCAUCUUAAUUCAAUAUGCAAAGACCCUAUUUCCAAAUAAGGUCACAUUCCCAGGUACUGGGAGUUAGGACCUCAACAUAUCUUUUUGGGGGACACAGUUCAACCCAUAACAGUGGGAUAGUCAGGAGAGCAGGGGAAGGACCAGAGAAGGCUGGCCAGACAGGCUCGGCGAGCUGGUAAACAGGAGUCAGCAGGGCAGGGAGAAUGGUGUUGUGUUGUCUGGAAUGAUGUAUAUAAACAGACUGGGGCCCGAGAGGGUGACACCUUUGGAAACUGCAAGGUGUUCAGUCUGACAGGCAUAAAGGAUCUAUGCUCGGUAGUGGCAAAAGAUAAUCCUACAAGUUAGCAGGAGCCAAGUCAUGAAUCUCAUCGUCUCCCCACACGAACGUGCCUGCACUCCUUUACUCCCCUUUUCUGGCUGACAGUAAUCAGUCAUCUCAAACCCCUACUUCCCCCUCACUUCCCACACGCAGUUGAUCCCUCAGAUCACUUGAUUCUGCCUCCUAAAAAUCUCCUAAAUCAGGCUGGGCAUGGUGGCCCAUGCCUGUAAUCCCAGCACUUUGGGAGGCUGAGGUGGGUGGAUCACCUGAGGUUAGGAGUUCGAGACCAGCCUGGCCAACAUGGUGAAACCCCAUCUCUACUAAAAAUACAAAAAUUAGGCUGGGCGUGGUGGCCCAUGCCUGUACUCCCAGCACUUUGGGAGGCUGAGGUGGGUGGAUCACCUGAGGUUAGGAGUUCGAGACCAGCCUGGCCUACAUGGUGAAACCCCAUCUCUACUAAAAAUACAAAAAUUAGGCUGGGCGUGGUGGCUCACGCCUGUAAUCCUAGCACUUUGGGAGGCUGAGGCGGGUGGAGCAUGAGGUCAAGAGAUCGAGACCAUCCUGGCCAACAUGGUGAAACUCCAUCCCUACUAAAAAAAAAAUGCAAAAAUUAGCUGGGUGUGGUGGUGCACACCUGUAGUCUCAGCUACUCUGGAGGCUGAGGCAGAAGAAUCGCUUGAACCUGGGAGGCGGAGGUUGCAGUGAGCCGAGAUCGCGCCACUGCACUCCAGCCUGGCAACAGAGCAAGACUCCAUCUCAUAAAACAAACAAACAAACAAACAAACAAAACCAACAACAAAAUCAAAAGUUAGCUUGGCCUGGUGGUGGGUGCCUGUAAUCCCAGCUACUCCAGAGGCUGAGGUAGGGAGGAUCUCUUGAACCUGGCGGUGGAGGUUGCAGUGAGCCGAGAUCACACCUCAGUACUCCAGCCUGGGCGACAAGAGCAAAACUAAACACCAUCUCAAAAAAUAAUAAUAAUAGUUCUCUUUGCCAUCAUUUCUCUUCCCGUGGAGCCGCUGCCAUGAAGGUUGACCUGUGCAGUUUCAGCAGGUACAAGAUCUACCCCGGACACGGGAGGCGCCACGCCAGGACCGACGGGAGGGUUUUCCAGUUUCUUAAUUCAAAAUGCAAGUUGGCGUUCCUUUCCAAGAGGAAUCCUCCGCAGAUAAACUGGACUGUCCUCUACAGAAGGAAGCACAAAAAGGGGCAGUCGGAGUAAAUUCAAAAGAAAAGAACCCACCGAGCAGUCAAAUUCCAGAAGACCAUUACGGUGUAUCUCUUGCUGCUAUAAUGGCCAAGAGGAAUCAGAAACCCGAAGUUAGAAAGGCUCAAAGAGAACAAGCUAUCAGGGCUGCUAAGGAAGCAAAAAAUGGCUAAGCAAGCAUCUAAAAAGACUGCAAGGGCUGCUGCUACGGCACCUACAAAGGCAGCACCUGAGCAAAAGAUUGUGAAGCCUGUGGAAGUUUCAGCUCCCCGAGUUGGUGGAAAACACUAAACUGGCAGAUUAGAUUUUUAAAUAAAGAUUGGAUUAUAACUC
rnacentral:lncRNA from 1 species